rnacentral:pre_miRNA from 1 species
GGUUCCUGAGAAGAAGUUGCCCAUGUUAUUUUCGCUGUAUGUGUGACGAAACAAACAUGGUGCACUUCUUUUCCGGCAUC